CAGGAUACAACGUUGGUGAGGACUGUACACAUCAUCUCCGUGGUAGAAGAAGAUAGUGUCAGCCCGAUUAAGUGUACGUCCUAAGAAGAAAUCAUGCGCCACACGGACAUUAUAUGUAGCGCUUGGCGGACUUGUAUGUGUUAAUUAAUUUGGAAUAGCUGGAUAAGUGAAGAUGUCUUGUUGGUACGAGGACGUUACUAUCUGCUAGAUUGUCCAUACUUGCGAUUUUGGAUAUGCAACUAGUAUUGUCUGACUAUCUGAACACGAACAUAAUUUCGUUUUCGAAGUUGCUAAUGUGUA